rnacentral:sRNA from 2 species
AGCUGUAGUUGUUGGAGGCAUUGGAUUAGGUGAUUCGUCCCCUCUAUCUGGCGCUGGUGGUGAUUGAGCUCCUUUGCCCCAGCGUGGGAGCGCAACCGCUACAGGGUAAGGCAGCCCAGAGUGAGUAUUUUUUUUUUGCUAUAAUUGCAUAAUUCCGCUCUGAAGAGGUUAGAUUAUCAUCUUAAUUAUCAUUGAUUUUAGAUAUAUCUGAUUAAUAUAUCUUAAUUUAUAAUGAGGAUACUGCCUUUUAAUCUAGUGAACAAGCUCAGAGUAUUGUAUAAGAAUCUAAUCUUACCUUAUAUCUGAUGAGAAGUUUAUGAGUGUUGG